ensembl:lncRNA
GGGGGCAGCUGCUAUCACACUCCAGCUGAUAGUUUUCACUGUGGACCUGUAAUCCAGCAUUGCUAGAAAUCCAGGCUUUCAUGGGAAAUCCUCAACCCACUCCAGUGUUCUUGCCUGGAGAAUCCCAGGGACGGGAGAGCCUGGUGGGCUGCCGUCUAUGAGGUCGCACAGAGUCGGACACGACUGAAGUGACUUAGCAUAGCAUAGCAAUGCAAAACUAAAGACACUGCACAGCACCUACCAUAUUUGCUGAUCAGAUCAGGCCCUUCAGCAGCCUACCUGGCAUAGAGUACAAGCACAAACCACAUGAAUAAUAGAGAACAGAGAAGACCAAUGAUGGGAUAGAACCCUACAGAUGACAGAAUGAGUCGGGGCCUCUGAAAAGGGCCAGAGCCUUCAGCUAACACACUUGAAUGUUUACCAUGCCCAGCUCCCAACCACAUAAUCUCCACCUCAUAACCUCAAGAGGCAGAUACUACUUUUCUUAUCUCCAUUGUAGAGCUUAGGAAACAGAGCUUACAGAGGUUCUGACAGAUUUGGGAUUUAAAAUGAGGUCUCUCUUCACUGUUUACAUAUUACAGCCUUCCUGGGUUGAAACCCUUGACUCUCAACAAAAGGAGGUUUUAAUUUGGGGUUCACUUACAAGAAGCUCUUUGCCCCGUUUAACAGAUACAUCUCAAAGAAGGAAAGUUCUUGACAGAACAAAGAUAAAAGAAGCAGAAAGAAUGAUAACAUAGAAAAAUCACCAUUAGGUAAUCCCUAAUGAAGAAGAGAAGCAAAAAGCAAAGGAGAAAAGGAAAGAUAUAAGCAUCUGAAUAAAGUUCCAAAGAACAGCAAGGAGAGAUAAGAAAGCCUUCCUCAGUGAUCAAUGCAAAGAAAUAGAAGAAAACAACAGAAUGGGAAAGACUAGAAAUCUCAAGAAAAUUAGAGAUACCAAGGGAAUAUUUCAUGCAAAGAUGGGCUUGAUAAAGGAUAGAAAUGGUAUGGACCUAACAGAAGCAGAAGAUUAUUAAGAAGAGGUGGCAAGAAUACACAGAAGAACUGAACAAAAAAGAGCUUCACGACCCAGAUAAUCACGAUGGUGUGAUCACUCACCUAGAGCCAGACAUCCUGGAAUGUGAAGUCAAGUGGGCCUU